rnacentral:rRNA from 1 species
GACGAACGCUGGCGGCGUGCUUAACACAUGCAAGUCGAACGGAAAGGCCCUGCUUUUGUGGGGUGCUCGAGUGGCGAACGGGUGAGUAACACGUGAGUAACCUGCCCUUGACUUUGGGAUAACUUCAGGAAACUGGGGCUAAUACCGGAUAGGAGCUCCUGCUGCAUGGUGGGGGUUGGAAAGUUUCGGCGGUUGGGGAUGGACUCGCGGCUUAUCAGCUUGUGGGUGGGGUAGUGGCUGACCAAGGAUUUGACGGGUAGCCGGCCUGAGAGGGUGACCGGCCACAUUGGGACUGAGGUACGGCCCAGACGCCUCCGGGAGGAGGCAGUGGGGAGUAUUGCACAAUGGGCGGAAGCAUGAUGCAGCAACGCCGCGUGCGGGAUGACGGCGGCCGGGUUGUAGACCGCUUCCGCCUGUGACGAAGCGUCAGUGACGGUAAUGGGUAAAGAAGCACCGGCUAACUACGUG